rnacentral:rRNA from 1 species
CAGCCGCCACGGGAAUACGUAGGUGGCAAGCGUUGUCCGGAAUUAUUGGGCGUAAAGGGCUCGCAGGCGGUUUCUUAAGUCUGAUGUGAAAGCCCCCGGCUCAACCGGGGAGGGUCAUUGGAAACUGGGAAACUUGAGUGCAGAAGAGGAGAGUGGAAUUCCACGUGUAGCGGUGAAAUGCGUAGAGAUGUGGAGGAACACCAGUGGCGAAGGCGACUCUCUGGUCUGUAACCGACGCUGAGGAGCGAAAGCGUGUGGAGCGAACAGGAUUAGAUACCCCGGUAGUCCCUGUCUCUUAUAA